rnacentral:lncRNA from 10 species
CGGGCGGGGCCCGCCAAGGGGGCAGGAGGGCUUGGUGUACAGUUGAUGUCUAGAAUAUAUUAACAGAAGGCUGCCCUGUAGAAGUUUUGAGUUAAUGGUUUCCAUCAACGCAGGAGUGGAAGAAGCUACUGGGGAUCAGGAAUCAGAAGUCCUGGCUUUAAGCCCUAGCUUUAGCCCUCACUGGUAAUAAAAUCAAAGCAAUUGGUCUCUUUGACUUCAGUUUCUCCACUUUUAAGGUUGACCUGAUAAUACUUGCCCUGCUUGUGAAGAGCAUGUGAAAUAAUAGCUAUUCAAAUUUUUACAAAGCACCAAGCAAAUAGCUGUGUGACCUUGGGCAUGUUCUUUUACUUUUCUGAUCCUUAUUUAUCUUAACUGUGGGAUU